UAAGGAAUAUUGGUCAAUGGACGCAAGUCUGAACCAGCCAUGCCGCGUGGAGGAUGAAGGCCCUCUGGGUUGUAAACUUCUUUUAUAGGGGAAGAACUCUAUCUUUUCUAAGGUAGUUGACGGUACCCUGUGAAUAAGCACCGGCUAACUCCGUGCCAGCAGCCGCGGUAAUACGGAGGGUGCAAGCGUUAUCCGGAUUCACUGGGUUUAAAGGGUGCGUAGGUGGGCAGGUAAGUCAGUGGUGAAAUCUCCGGGCUUAACCCGGAAACUGCCGUUGAUACUAUUUGUCUUGAAUAUAGUGGAGGUGAGCGGAAUAUGUCAUGUAGCGGUGAAAUGCUUAGAUAUGACAUAGAACAUCGAUUGCGAAGGCAGCUCGCUACACUAUUAUUGACACUGAGGCACGAAAGCGUGGGGAUCAAACAG
rnacentral:rRNA from 1 species